rnacentral:lncRNA from 1 species
GAAGCCGUGGGUCACAGAAGAGAACCGUGGAACCUAGAGACCAGUGUUCAGCUCGAUUGGGACGAACCUGGGCACUUAGCCGUGCAGAAACAAUGGCGAGCCUUUAGCCGGAUCGGGAGCAGUAAUGGGUGCCUCCAUGGACAGCGGACACCCUGCCGGAUCCAGAGGGGUGGAAGUCAGCGGCGGGUCUGCGAUGUGGGCAAACAACAGUGGUGGACAGGAGCUUGACAUAGGUGGUGCAUGAAGUGUCUCAAGAGGAAGCAGAGAAUAAGAUCUCAGUUACACAGUCUGGGCAAGAAUACAAGAAAAUCACCCAAAAAACUGCGACCAUCAGAGGAGCCUCCAUGUUAGAGUCUCUGGGCCUCUGUCUCUUCAGAAUCCACCCUGGAAACAGUGUGCAUCAAAACACUUUGGAGUUCUUAGAGGCACUUGGAAUUAUCUGCUGGCUUCCCACCUUUAAAGAGACUGGGCUAGUUAAAUAUCCCCCUCUGUUCAUUUUUUUAAAUUUGAGUUUGUCAGUUCACAAUACCAGAAGAUCUGAAAGAAAAAUAAAAACAAAACCCAGAACCUCUUUGGGCUUCUCAGGCAAUAGAGAAAGACUUCCACGUACUCAGAAGACCAUCGUCAGUUAACAAAAGCCAGGUAGAAGAAUGAAUCUGGAUCCCUACCUCACAACCUAUACAGAAAUUAACUCCAGCUGGAUCAUUAAAUCUAAACAUAAGAGUGAAAAUUGUAAGCUCUUAGAAAAAAAUGCAGUGGUAAAUACUUAUGAAUUCGAAUUAGACAAUGGUUUUUAGAUAUGAAAACAAAAACACAAGCAACAAAGGAAAAAGUAGAUUUGAUGACUGGACAUCAUUAUAAUGAGAAACUUUUGUGCUUCAAAGGACAUCACCUAGAAAGUGAAAAGGCAACAUGCAGAAUGAAAGAAAAAUUUGCAAGU